rnacentral:rRNA from 1 species
UACGGGGGGUGCAAGCGUUGUUCGGAAUCAUUGGGCGUAAAGAGCGUGUAGGCGGCUUGAUAAGUCAGAUGUGAAAGCCCUGGGCUUAACCCAGGAAGUGCAUUUGAUACUGUCUUGCUUGAGUAGGGGAGAGGAAAGCGGAAUUCCUGGUGUAGAGGUGAAAUUCGUAGAUAUCAGGAGGAACACCGGUGGCGAAGGCGGCUUUCUGGCCCUAUACUGACGCUGAGACGCGAGAGCGUGGGUAG